UACGGAGGGUGCGAGCGUUGUCCGGAAUCAUUGGGCGUAAAGGGCGCGUAGGUGGCGGGACAAGCGUGCGGUGAAAGCUCGGGGCUCAACUCCGAGUCGGCCGUGCGAACUGGGCUCACUGGAGCAUAGUAGAGGCAGGUGGAAUUCCGGGUGUAGCGGUGGAAUGCGUAGAGAUCCGGAAGAACACCGGUGGCGAAGGCGGCCUGCUGGGCUAUGGCUGACACUGAGGCGCGACAGCGUGGGGAGCAAACAGG
rnacentral:rRNA from 1 species